AUCUAGAAAGGACUUAACAAUGUUAUAAACUAUUGGCAGAUGAAUUGAGGAAAGAACAUCCUCCAUUCCAUGUAAGUGACAAAGUAUGGCUUCUUUGGCAUAAUAUAAAAACUAAUAGGCUAUGUGAUAAGUUAGACUACUAAAGGUUAGAACUAUUUGUGAUUCAAAAAUAAAUUACUUAUAUGUAAUUGUCAUUUUACUUAUUCUACAAUUCCUUCCAGAAUAAACCUGUAUAGGAAAAUUCAAACACAAAGAAAGAAUAAGUGCAUGAGUUUCAUUUCUUAGGGUCACACAGUUAAUUGUAUUCCAAACCACUAAAACACUAAGAAAUACUACAAUGCUUCUUCCUAGUAAUAAUACUCUUUCAUCAAUUGAUAACGACAAUGUGCAACCUUGCACUCUCAAAAGACCACUCAAAACUCAAUAAAUUCCAUCCAAUACCAAGAAUAAUAAAUUUCAUUCCAACCAAUCUGAAUUCACAGAAUUCCUGUAAUCACAAAUGUCCUCUGUC
rnacentral:lncRNA from 1 species